rnacentral:rRNA from 1 species
AUGUCUUCUUCAAGCUCCCGCGCCACCUCACGGGUCCAGCGCCCGACGCGCGUCGAGAUGCCGAUCUUCGUCUAUCUGUAGUGCCGGGCGGGCGUUGAUCGGAGGGUUUAUCACACACCAAAGAACCAUAAUUGUCUGUUCUACGUGUGCAGUGAGAAUGUGGUGCAAUGUUUCUUCCUUUGGGUCGAUGCUCUAGCCAAGACUCUGAUGAAUGAACUGCAAGAAGAGCACGAAGAAUGGUUGCCCUUCCUGCCAUGAACGGCAGUGGCCGCAACAUGAGCUCCGGAAGAAGAGACGGAGGGCGAAGCACGCAAUGACAGAGAGCUAGCUGUUGAGCUUAGGAGGUUGAACAAGAAGGUUACGAAGGUCGAAGAUCAAGCACAAAUAACCAUUUGUAACUACUUUUGGGAAUUUGUAGGUAUGGUAAUCGCACUGGGUGUAAUGUUGAAAUUAUAUGGACAGGCAUGA